CAUGCAAGUCGAACGGUAAGGCCCUUCGGGGUACACGAGUGGCGAACGGGUGAGUAACACGUGGGUAAUCUGCCCUGCACAUCGGGAUAAGCCUGGGAAACUGGGUCUAAUACCGAAUAGGACCACAGAACACAUGUCCUGUGGUGGAAAGCUUUUGCGGUGUGGGAUGGGCCCGCGGCCUAUCAGCUUGUUGGUGGGGUGAUGGCCUACCAAGGCGACGACGGGUAGCCGGCCUGAGAGGGUGUCCGGCCACACUGGGACUGAGAUACGGCCCAGACUCCUACGGGAGGCAGCAGUGGGGAAUAUUGCACAAUGGGCGAAAGCCUGAUGCAGCGACGCCGCGUGGGGGAUGACGGCCUUCGGGUUGUAAACCUCUUUCACCAUCGACGAAGGUCCGGGUUUUCUCGGGCUGACGGUAGGUGGAGAAGAAGCACCGGCCAACUACGUGCCAGCAGCCGCGGUAAUACGUAGGGUGCGAGCGUUGUCCGGAAUUACUGGGCGUAAAGAGCUCGUAGGUGGUUUGUCGCGUUGUUCGUGAAAUCUCACGGCUUAACUGUGAGCGUGCGGGCGAUACGGGCAGACUUGAGUACUGCAGGGGAGACUGGAAUUCCUGGUGUAGCGGUGGAAUGCGCAGAUAUCAGGAGGAACACCGGUGGCGAAGGCGGGUCUCUGGGCAGUAACUGACGCUGAGGAGCGAAAGCGUGGGGAGCGAACAGGAUUAGAUACCCUGGUAGUCCACGCCGUAAACGGUGGGUACUAGGUGUGGGUUUCCUUCCUUGGGAUCCGUGCCGUAGCUAACGCAUUAAGUACCCCGCCUGGGGAGUACGGCCGCAAGGCUAAAACUCAAAGAAAUUGACGGGGGCCCGCACAAGCGGCGGAGCAUGUGGAUUAAUUCGAUGCAACGCGAAGAACCUUACCUGGGUUUGACAUGCACAGGACGCCGGCAGAGAUGUCGGUUCCCUUGUGGCCUGUGUGCAGGUGGUGCAUGGCUGUCGUCAGCUCGUGUCGUGAGAUGUUGGGUUAAGUCCCGCAACGAGCGCAACCCUUGUCUCAUGUUGCCAGCGGGUAAUGCCGGGGACUCGUGAGAGACUGCCGGGGUCAACUCGGAGGAAGGUGGGGAUGACGUCAAGUCAUCAUGCCCCUUAUGUCCAGGGCUUCACACAUGCUACAAUGGCCGGUACAAAGGGCUGCGAUGCCGCGAGGUUAAGCGAAUCCUUUUAAAGCCGGUCUCAGUUCGGAUCGGGGUCUGCAACUCGACCCCGUGAAGUCGGAGUCGCUAGUAAUCGCAGAUCAGCAACGCUGCGGUGAAUACGUUCCCGGGCCUUGUACACACCGCCCGUCACGUCAUGAAAGUCGGUAACACCCGAAGCCAGUGGCCUAACCCUUUGGGAGGGAGC
rnacentral:rRNA from 1 species